GGAAAUGUAGCAAGAUUCCCUUUCAUCUCCCAACGGCAGUUUGGGGCUGCACGUGUCCGCCGAAUCCAAGGGCAAAGGGCCUGCGGUGAGGAGCCCACAUUUUGAACUGAAGAAGUGAGCACCACAGCUUUGGGGUCACGAAAAGCCAGAGUGGCAUCUCUGGCCUUGGAGCCUUACUCUCCUCUUCUAUAAAAGAGACCCGAUGGCACCUCCCCUAAGGGUUGUGAACACCGCAUAAGACCUUACGGUGGUGAGGAUCAAACGGAAUGAGAUAUGUGGACAUGCCUUGGAAACUGUACAAUGUCAGCUCUCUGUCUUCUCACCUGCCUCCCGGGCCCUCCUGCGCUGAGUGGAAAGCAGCCGCUCCUGGCAGCGCCCAGGGGGCUGCAGUCAGCAUCUCACAGAGGAAACCAGUCUGCCCCUGACUUUCUCUGUGUGAUACAAGGGCCAUUUUGUUGAAGACCGUGUUCUGCUGACUCCUAAGAAGCGCCUCUCACCCCGACAGCUCGGGCGGACUUCAGCCACGGAGCCCGGGACCGGGUCGUCCUCCGGAGCAGCGUGCCGGACCCCGCGCUGCCUCCUCCCAGCCCCUCGGGUGCAGACGGGACUCCCGCCGGAUACGGGUCCUUGGAGGAAACGGGAGAGAAAUUCCACUUUGGCUCCAGCGAUCCGGCCCACAAAGGAGCCAGGGAAAAAGCUGAGCGAGAAGAGCGACCGCAAGCCCCCUUGCCGGAUUCCGGCAGACGCCACGGGGAGAAUCGGGAACAGAAAAACCUGGGCCAGAGAAGAAAGGGCCUUCGCGGAGCUGUGCAGACACAACGCAAGAACACAUGCAACCAGCGCAAGGCAAGGCCGGCUGCGCUGCCUUAGAAUUCAGAGGAGAAGGCGCUCACCGCAGGCCGGGGCGGGCAGGGGAGGCAGCCUUGACCUCAGCCCUGAAGACCCGGCGCUCCUGGCCUCCUUCCCCGCCUCGGCAUCACCUGCUGCUGGAUUUCACCUUAAUAAUAGCUGGUAGCACGUACUGAGCACUUACAAUGUCGGGCUUUAUGAGCAUUUUCUCGUUAGUCUUCACAGAAAAUUAGAGUGGUCAAGAAUGUAAGGUUCAGAGAAGUGAAGUCUUGGACAGGCCCAUCCUGGGAACGAGAAGGUGAGUUAGAAAGAAAAGAACGCAAACGAAUGAAUCCGACCUCUGAACCUACGGAGCUCCUCCUACACAUCUGGCAUUGAGACAUGAAGACAGUGCACGGGGCGCCGAGCAUGGGCAGGUUGGGCAGCAGGCCUGUGCUGGAAAGGUCCCAGCUCCGUCCCUCUGAGCUGCGAGAGGCUGGCCAAUGACCUCACCUCUUGGAGCUUCAGUUUCCUCAUCUACCAAAGGGGAUAAUAGGAUGCCACCCUCACUGGACUAGUGUGAACGUUAGAUGGGACCGCACACGUGUUAGCAGUGUAAGUGGCAGCCGUGCCCUGGAUGUCAGUGCCCCCUGCUUGUCUAUCUGCAGCAGGAAUGUGAGAGAAAGCACAGGACUGAGAG
rnacentral:lncRNA from 1 species